AUCUAGGGGACUUAGAAAGUUUUCGAAGGUUCAGGCAGGGGGUCAUCUAGGGGACUUAGAAAGUUUUCGAAGGUUCAGGCAAGGGGUCAUCCAGGGGACUUAGAAAGUUUUCGAAGGUUCAGGCAGGGGGUCAUCUAGGGGACUUAGAAAUUUUUCGAAGGUUCAGGCAAGGGGUCAUCCAGGGGACUUAGAAAGUUUUCGAAGGUUCAGGCAGGGGGUCAUCUAGGGGACUUAGAAAUUUUUCGAAGGUUCAGGCAAGGGGUCAUCCAGGGGACUUAGAAAUAUUUGAGAGGUUCAGGCAAGGGGUCAUCCAGGGGACUUAGAAAGUUUUCGAAGGUUCAGGCAGGGGG